rnacentral:rRNA from 1 species
UAAUACUCCAUAGUUCGUUAUUACUGGAAUGUUUUUCGAACGAAAGAUCCGUCGCUUCAGGAUGAGUCUGCGGCCGAUUAGGUAGUUGUUGGGGUAAUUGCCCAACAAGCCUGUAAUCGGUACGGGUUGUGGGAGCAAGAGCCCGGAGAUGGAUUCUGAGACACGAAUCCAGGCCCUACGGGGCGCAGCAGGCGCGAAAACUUUACCAUGCGGGCAACCGUGAUAAGGAAACCCCGAGUGCCAGCACAGGCUGGCUGUCCGCCAGUUUAAACAACUGGCGAAGAAAGGGCCGGGCAAGACCGGUGCCAGCCGCCGCGGUAAUACCGGCGGCUCGAGUGGUGGCCGCUAUUACUGGGCUUAAAGGGUCCGUAGCUUGAUAAUAGGGUCCCUUGAGAAAUUCGCCGGCUUAACUGGCGGGCGUUCAGGGGAAACUUGUUUUCUAGGGACCGGGAGAGGUGAGGGGUACUGCCGGGGUAGGAGUGAAAUCCUGUAAUCCCGGUGGGACCACCUAUGGCGAAGGCAUCUCACCAGAACGGGUCCGACAGCGAGGGACGAAAGCUGGGGGAGCAAACCGGAUUAGAUACCCGGGUAGUCCCAGCUGUAAACUAUGUGCGUUAGGUGUGU